rnacentral:tRNA from 1 species
GGAGAGUUGGCCGAGUGGUCUAAGGCGCACGCCUGGAGAGCGUGUAGGCUCCAAAAGGGUCUCCAGGGUUCGAAUCCCUGACUCUCCG